rnacentral:rRNA from 1 species
UAAAGAACUUGCCUCACAGCUAGGGACAACAUUUGGAAACGAAUGCUAAUACCUAAUAUUAUGAUAAUAGGGCAUCCUAUAAUUAUGAAAGCUAUAAGCGCUGUGAGAGAGCUUUGCGUCCCAUUAGCUAGUUGGAGAGGUAACGGCUCACCAAGGCGAUGAUGGGUAGCCGGCCUGAGAGGGUGAUCGGCCACAAGGGGACUGAGACACGGCCCUU